rnacentral:tRNA from 1 species
GCCUGGGUGGCUCAGUGGUUGAGCAUCUGCCUUUGGCUCAGGGCAUGAUCCCAGGGUCCUGGGAUCGAGUCCCACAUCAGGCU